rnacentral:pre_miRNA from 1 species
AAAAUAUUCCCUCCGUCUGGUAUUUAGUGUUGCAACUUUGUCUGUCUACGCGUGUAUCAAGACGCGUUUUAGUGAGUAGAUACAUGCGUAUCUAGACAAAGUUUCGACACUUAAUACCGGACGGAGGGAGUACUUG